rnacentral:lncRNA from 1 species
UUUUUUUUUUUUUUUUUAAUAUUUAUUUUUUAGUUAUCGGCGGAUACAACAUCUUUGUUUUGUAUGUGGUGCUGAGGAUCGAACCCGGGCCGCACGCAUGCCAGGCAAGUGCACUACCACUUGAGCCACAUCCUCAGCCCCUUAAUGUACUUUUUUAAAAAAUAUUUUUCUUUUAGUGUAGAUGGACUCAAUACCUUUAUUUUAUUUGUUUAUAUUUUUGUGUGGUGCCGGGGAUCAAACCCAGUGCUUCACGCAUGCUUAGGUGAGUGCUCUACCACUGAGCCACAACCCUGGCCCCUUACUUUUGAUAGUGAAAACACAGCAUAAAUAUGUUGAGAUCCUCUAGAAGAACAUCAGUGUUUAUGACUGAGCAUGAGCAGAUAGUGAUUUGCUUUUAUAUUUUGUGGGCACAGAUAAUGCUAUUUUAAUGAUUGAAGCAAGUAUAAAAAAUAGAGAUGAAAUUAAAAUGCAUAUGAUGUGUCUGAGUCAAGUAUAGCCAAAGCCAGGAUUUAAAUGGAGAGACUGUGGGGGCAGUGGGUCAGCCCCGUGUUGCUGUGAGGGUAAGUUUGUCUUCAGCCUCUGGAUUCUUCCCCGUUAAAUGUGUGUUGUUAGUUGGCAUUUUGUUAUCACACAAGGGGUCUCUUCAGUUUGUUUGUAUUCUUCUGAGACAAGGUCUGCUUCUGUUGCCUGACUGGCCCUAUAUUCUUGGGCUCAAGUGACCUUCCUGCCUUAGCCUCCCGAGCUGGAAUCACAGGUUAUAUUAAAAAUAACCAGUCAACACUGAUUAUUUUCAAGGGUUCAGGGAAACUCUUCUCUUUUAAAAGGGGUUUAUGGAUUGCUUCUUUAAGUGGUGGCUCUGAGUCACAGGGGUUUUGCUUUACUUUCGUGAAUCCAAGUCAGCCCAGUCUCCUAAAAUUGGGUUCUGUUCAAAACCUGACCAUUGAAAUCAGAGAGGCUGGGGGUGGGGGGUGUUCUUGAAUUGUCCUGCCUGUGUUUGACAUGACUAGUUUGUUGGCUCAAGUAUUUUAACAUGGACAGGCAUCCUUCUGUGCAGGGGAUCAGGAAAGGUAGUUCUCGGAUCCUAGUUCUAAUUGAGGUGAUGCUGGCCGGGGAAGCAGAGGACAGUAGUGAUGAUAGUGUUUUCAGCCUCUGCUGGAUGUAACUUAGAUCUGUGGAAAUUAUCACACAUGUACGUUUUGACUGCUGUUGCCAUACAGUGAAAAAGAUGAUUUUAAAAGUCUGUACAUCAGUGGAUUCUUACUGUCACAUUUCUUUUCCAUGAAGGCCAUUUUAGAAUGCUUUGUAAGUGAUGUUAAGAUCCUUAAAUACAACCAUAUCAUGUUUUUAACAUUAAAACUUGAAACUUGUGAAGCAGUGUAGUUUGAGAACGUUGGUCAGGUACCAAGGAGACAGGAGGGCCAUGUGGCAUUGGGGUGGCUGCCUUCUGGGUCUCAUUUUCUGCAGGAUUGACACGUGCAUUCCAUCGUGCUAGCCCUGGAGCGGAGCACAGAGCUGUUUCCAAGGGCUGCAUGAGGAGGUGACGUUGCCUGGCCUAGAGCCAGCCUGAGACCCCCACUGGCCCACCCUUUACAGAGGCCUACCAAGGCCUAAGGAUGACAGCUGGCAUGCUGGGUGCUCACGUGCCAGUAGCUCACUCACUGCUCAUGCUUGCUCUGUGGGUAGGCUCUUCUUUUAUCUCACUUUACAAAUGAGGAGACUGAGGCUUAAGCUGCUUGGCUGCAGUGCCAUUCCUGAGAUGGCACGGGCAGAACCGGAGCAGGCCACAUGCAGCUGCAGACACCUGGUUUUCCUGAUUGCCCAGGGAGCCACACUGCCGUCUUGGCUUUAAAAGACCCUUCC